CCUACGGGAGGCAGCAGUGAGGAAUAUUGGUCAAUGGACGAGAGUCUGAACCAGCCAAGUAGCGUGAAGGAUGACUGCCCUAUGGGUUGUAAACUUCUUUUAUAUGGGAAUAAAAUGUUCCACGUGUGGGAUUUUGUAUGUACCAUAUGAAUAAGGAUCGGCUAACUCCGUGCCAGCAGCCGCGGUAAUACGGAGGAUGCGAGCGUUAUCCGGAUUUAUUGGGUUUAAAGGGUGCGUAGGCGGAAUAUCAAGUCAGCGGUAAAAAUUCGGGGCUCAACCCCGUCGUGCCGUUGAAACUGAUGUUCUUGAGUGGGCGAGAAGUAUGCGGAAUGCGUGGUGUAGCGGUGAAAUGCAUAGAUAUCACGCAGAACUCCGAUUGCGAAGGCAGCAUACCGGCGCCCAACUGACGCUGAAGCACGAAAGCGUGGGUAUCGAACAGGAUUAGAUACCCUUGUAGUC
rnacentral:rRNA from 1 species